UACAGAGGGUGCAAGCGUUAAUCGGAACUACUGGGCGUAAAGCGCGCGUAGGCGGAUAAAUAAGUUGGGUGUGAAAUCCCUGGGCUUAACCUAGGAAUUGCAUUCAAAACUGUUUGUCUAGAGUACAGGAGAGGAGGGCAGAAUUUCCGGUGUAGCGGUGAAAUGCGUAGAUAUCGGAAGGAAUACCAGUGGCGAAGGCGGCCCUCUGGACUGUGACUGACGCUGAGGUGCGAAAGCGUGGGGAGCAAACGGG
rnacentral:rRNA from 1 species